rnacentral:rRNA from 1 species
UACGUAGGGGGCAAGCGUUGUCCGGAUUUAUUGGGCGUAAAGAGCGUGUAGGCGGCCAUGUAGGUCCGUUGUGAAAACUCGAGGCUCAACCUCGAGACGCCGAUGGAAACCAUGUGGCUAGAGUCCGGAAGAGGAGAGUGGAAUUCCUGGUGUAGCGGUGAAAUGCGCAGAUAUCAGGAAGAACACCCGUGGCUAAGGCGGCUCUCUAGUACGGUACUGACGCUGAGGAGCGAAAGCGUGGGGAGCGAACAGG